rnacentral:sRNA from 1 species
AACUUCCCCCUCAUCCAUCUCUCGCCCAGGUUCCCGUGGAUGGUCACACCUCGCAACUGAUCACAGACACCAGGUCACUCGCCCAGUCCUCGCUCCACGCUGCGCAUCUCGGUCCGUCAGCUGCUGUGGUCAAGCGAACCCGCUUCUGGCCCAAUUGACUUCGCCCAUUGGCCACCCACACCUCCUCCUUUACCUCCUAACCUACCGCUUCCUUGAUCAAUCAAUAAUCUUCAUGAACAAAUAAAUACAUUUCAACAACAACAACAACAAACCCACGACGCUGUUGCAAGAUGAAUCUAACUGUGGGGAAAUUCUUUUUUCUUGUCCGUUGCAAUUGCACGCGUUCUGCGGCAAUAAAAAUGACUGCAUCUUGAAUGGCCAAGGGAGCCCGUCAACGGGCACUAAUUAUAGUGUCAUUUGCCAUUCGCCAUUGACUCGUUACCUUAUCUCUCAGCGAGCUGUAAAUAUCGGAGCAGACAUAUACAUAUAUAUAUAUAUAAAUAUAAUAUCAGCCAAUCGCCGAGGAAGAAGAGAAAGGUCAAAAAAUCAAGAUACAAUUGCACUGCACUGCACUGCAUUUUGAAUGAACUUUUGUGGAAAACUUAACUUCGCUGCUGUAAAGGCUAGCAAUCAAUAUAUACAUCAUCGAUAGCUUUACUCCCGUAUAUCAUUCGUCAAUCCGCUUCUAAGGCAAAUUGACAAACAAAUUUAUAUCAAUCAUAAGGUGUUUUGGUCUAAUUGAGUUAUACUGAAUGGGAUUUCCUUCCAGUAUCGUCUAUCCCC